rnacentral:rRNA from 1 species
AUGUUUCGAGGACCCUAUUUUACGCCGAGUUAUGGUCCUGGCCCUCACGUAAGCCAAGGACAGAAUUCUGCUGCCCUCUACCCUCUGCAAACGUUGAUGAAUGCCGAUCCGCCCUCCCGGACGGCCUCUCUCGCCUUCGUCGCGAGCGCCGCCGCCCUCGUCCGCCUCUCCACCGCCUCGUCUCCUCCGCCCAUGAUGCUCCUCACCGCCUUCUCCACCGCCCCUCGCUCCACCACCGCCACCUCCCCGUCCUCCUCCUUCAACCACUCCACCCCGACGCUCACGCCGAACUGGUGGGCCAUGUGUGGCCAUGUCACCACCGGGAGCCCGACCGCGACCGCCUCCAUCGUCGAGUUCCACCCGCAGUGCGUCAUGAUGCCGCCCACCGACGCGUGGGACAAGAUCAGUUGUUGCGGUGCCCAGCCCUUGAUCAGCAGCCCGCGGAAUCCGCGGACUUCCUCGUCCUGGUCCUGCCCGGCGUUCUCCGGUGAUACCACCCAAAUGAACGGGUGCCCCGACGCCUCGAGGCCGAGCCCGGUCUCCAUGACCUGCUCGGGGCGCCCGUGCAAGACGCUGCUCCCGAAGCUGACGUAG